rnacentral:lncRNA from 1 species
AUGGACAAGCAACACAUUGAUCAUCUUCGCAUAGCCCAAAGUUUCCGCAUCUUUCUGGCAAUUGGCAUUCUGUUUCCCAUGAGUCUCUAGAAAAUAGAGUGUAGGUUACUUGCCAAGCACUCCAAUCUGCAUUAUCUUCAUAAGUGUGUAUUCUAAGGUUUCCAUCUAUUUCCAACCGAAGAUAAGACAACGUGGUAUUGUAUUUAGGCCUUCUAAGAAUGAGAGUUCCCGCAGAAGUGAAAUUACGACCAUACAAUUCUAAAGAUAAACCUGAGCCUAAUGUCACUUGACUCAAAGGAGCCUUUGAUACAGUAAAUAAUUCAGAAAAUGAGAAGUAAAGCAAUGGUUUUGGGGAAUUUGGACCUUUGUAAUACAUAGCCAUAGUCUUGUCCUCCAAGACCAAACUAUAAGGACCAUUAGCGUUCUUUUCUUCAGAAACGCGACUCACAAGCUUGGUUGCACCUCCAAGCUUUAGGGACUGACCCACUAAAAGGGUAUCAGUUGGGUAAUCAAAACUCUGCCAAAUAAACGUACCUUUGGAAUCAUAAAGAACCAUGUUACCAUUUGAGAGUAACUCGAACCCAACAACGCCUUUAUUGGCAGUGUUGGUUUGCCAAGCGAUUCGACCAUCAGCAUUCGCCAAGACAAGGUUUCCAUCAGUUCCAAAGGUGAGGGUGGCAUUUUCGCCAACUGGGUUGCCACGGUUGGCUUCCCAAACCCAACGCAUAAGCGACUCAGAUCUCACUGUACCCAUUCGUAGAGCAAGAGUAUAUGCAUUAGGAGUGGUGUUAUAAAAGCAAAGUUGAAAUGGCUGGGCAAAUGGAUCUAAGAAUCGAUAAUUGGCACCAUAUUCCACAAUAUAAUCCCCAAAUUCACCUUCAUUGACAUAUUUGAAGGUUGCAGAAGGAGGAACAGAAGCUUGAGCGAUCAAAGAAAAGAUGGUGAAGGAUAAGCAAAGAGAGUGAAAUAGCUGUUGAGAAGAAAACAUUUUGCUUUGUCUGCGAGUUUCUGGGCUAUACAGAGAGGUUCUUUUUUCAAUUUCCCUUUUAUAAUUAAACUUGUACAAUAUUUUAUCAUUUUGCAUUGAAGAAAUAAACGUGUUUUUGCAAUUUUUGCACGUUUAAAACAUAGAUUACAAUAAAGUUAAUUUGCACAAUACUUUGAUUCUCAAUACACGUGUAAAGUACGUAUUUAUCUUGCAUUUUAUAAUAUUUUUUUUCAUAUAUAAAAUGAUUUAUUGAAGCAAAGCUAUUUUUUUUAUAUUUUAUAGAUUUAAUUUAAAAUAAUGUAUUAUGGGAUUCAUUUGAUAAAAAAAGAAAAAUUUUUAUUGAAAUAGUGUCUGAGAUUUUACUAUUUUUAUAAUUUUAAUAUUAAAAGAAAUGCAUAAAAAGGAAGCCAAAAGCAUUUUAAUAAUUUUGAGGUAAUUUAUUGUAAAAUGUUUGCUUCAUCUGAAUGGGACAGAUUCUCAAAAUGGGCUUGAUGAAGGAGCAGGAUGACAUCGACUGAUCAGUGGACGACCUCAAGAAAGAAACUAGAAUUCGGCAGCUCAGUUGGGCCUCCAGGUUGUAAGCCUUCGAGCUCGAAUCGAGUAGGCUGGCUCUAUCACCAGGUCAUCAGGCUUUCAAGAUUGGAUUGUGCAGGCCGAACAUGCUACUAGCUAGUUUGGUUGGAUUGUGUAUUUUAUAAUUUUAAAUAUACGUAUUAUUUACUUCCUAUUCAUGCCAUUUAAUUUUUUUAAUUAAAAUAAAAAUAAAAAUAAAUAAAUAAAUUAUUAAUUUUAUUAUAUUAUAUAAAUUAUAGUAACAAAUUAUAAAAAUAUAUUUUAUUUUAUUAUAUUUAUUAAAAGAUAUUUUAUAAUAAUACAUUGAUGAUCCUCACGUAGCCUAAAGUUAUCAUAUUAUAUAUACAUCUUCAAAAAAAUAAAAUUAUUAUAAACUUUCUUUUAAAUAAAAUAAAAAAGAAAAAGCUACAAAUUACCCUAAAUUUAUUAUUUUGCAAUAAAGAAAUAUAGAUUCUUGCAAUUUAUGCACGUUUAAAGAGAUAUAAAUUAUAAUAAAGUUAAUUUGCAAAAUAAUUUAUUUCUGGCGAAACGUGAAUGACUAAUAGAGACAUAAAUUUGGUAAAACAAAGAGGGUAGUCUUCAUUAACGGCUAAGAAUCCAUGGACUUGGACUAAAGCGAAAAAAAACCUAGUUUAUGGGCACAUGGAGACCGCUGUCAGAAAUUAAUGAAGAAAUAAUAAUAAUUAUAUGUGUGUGUGUGCAGAGAAUCGAAAAUGAGGAGGAUGUUGCAGUGGACCAUCACUACACAGAAUUAUUAGCAUUAUCCUUAUCUGGCAAGCACGCUACCUUGUUAUGGAAAGAUGAGUUUGCCUUUUAUUUAUUUAUACCUUCAUCACUUAGAAAAGAAAAUUUUAUUUCUAACUUUUGAAAAUUUUAUUAAUACCACAAAUUUAUAUACAUAAUAAUAAUUUUUGUUUUUAAUAAUAUAAUUAAGUUAUUUUUUAAAAAUAAUAUAAAUAAAUUUAUAAUUGAUUAUCUUCACUUAAUCCUUCCACUCAAAUUCAAUAUGCAACAGCCAAGAAGUAGAAGACUAAACAUAAAGAAAAUAUGCUGACCUUUUAUUCUUAAAAAUCGCAUGAAUUAAAAUAAAAUAGAAAGCUAACCAAAAUUGAUAAAUAAAAAUAUCAACGAAGAAAAAUACUCACUAUGAGCUCUUUGCGAAGGAAUGGAAUAAGAUGAAAUUACUUGUUGCCAAAUAUUUCUCUCCUAUCAAUCCCUCUAAUUAUUGCUUGUACAUAAAAUCCUAAGUCUAAACUGAAAAAAGAAACCUAAAAAUCAUUUAUUUGGUACUUUAAUGAAGGCUAAAUGCGUAGAAUUAUUGGCUUUUGUCAAAGUUUUAAGAUCAUAAGCAAUCCAGCAUCUGGACGACUGUGUGUGAUAGAAAUAACCCAAACACUUGCAAUCUUUGGUGCAUUUGCUGCUGCAAGCAUCCUGCUUCAUGGGUCCAUUUCCUCUUGUGUACUUGGACAUGAAAUGAUCAACUCCUCCUAGUUUGUAGUAUUUAAAAUCUUUUACUCCACAUGAAGAUAUUUUUGCUGGCCCGCAAUUCUUGCUCCACCCCAACAAGCCUUUUGGUGAUGGACAAGCAACACACUGAUUAUCCUGGCAUAGCCCAAAGCUCCCACAUCUUUCUGGCAACUGGCAUUCUGUUUCAAUAGAGUCUCUCGAAAACAAAGUGUAGGUCACUUCCCAAGCAUCUGAAUCUGCAUUAUCUUCAUAAGUGUGUAUUCUAAGGUUUCCAUCCAUUUCCAACCCAAGAUAAGACAGUGUGGUAUUGUAUUUAGGCCUUCUGAGAUUGAGUUCCUCAGAAGAGAAAUUAGGACCGUGGAAUUCUAAGGAUAAAUUUAAGCCUAGUGUCACUCGAUUCAAAGGAGCCUUUGGUGCAGUAAAUAAUUCAGAAAAUGAGAAGUAAAGGAAUGGUUUUGGGGAAUUUGACUUCUGUAAUACAUAGUCAUAGUCUUGUCCUCCAAGACCAAACUAUAAGGACCAUCAGCGGUUUUUUCCUCAGAAACGCGACUCACAAGCUUGGUUGGACCUCCAAGCCUUAGGGACUGACCCACUAAAAGGGUAUCAGUUGGGUAAUCAAAACUCUGCCAAAUAAAUCUACCUUUGGAAUCAUGAAGAACCAUAUUACCAUUUGAGAGUAACUGGAACCCAACAACGCCUUUAUUGGCAGUGUAGGAUUGCCAAGCGAUCCGACCAUCAGCAUCGGCCAAGACAAGGUUUCCAUCAGUGCCAAGUGAGAAGGUGGCAUUCUCUCCAACUGGAUUGCCACGGUUGGCCUCCCAAACCCAACGCAUCCGUGAAAAAUUCGUCCACGUGCCCAUACGCAAAGCAAGAGUAAAUUGAUCUGGAGUAGUGCUAUUGCUAUAGAAGCAAAGUUGAAAUGGCUGAGCAAAGGGCUCUAAGGCUCGGUAAAGGGCAUCAUACUCUACCCUACGCUCCCCAUAAUCACCUUCAUUGACAUAUUUAAAGGUUGCAGAAGGAGGAACCGAAGCUUGAGAGAUCAAAGAGAAGAUGGUGAAGGAUAAGCAAAGAGAGAGGAAUAGUUGCUGAAAAGAAAACAUUUUUGCUUAAGUUGCGAGUUUCUGGCCAAUAGAGAAAUUCAUUUUUAUAGCAGAAAAGGGGAAGGUUUUAGUACUUAUAAAUUUGCAAGUUGAGCAUGAAAAUGGGCGAAAGCCUGAUGGUGGAGGGCUUCUUUUAUUUUUAUAUUGUUAUUUUUUAAAUUUCCAUUGGUGUUCACUUUGUUUUAUUGAAUAUAAUAUUAUAUAUUUCGUGGGUGUAACCAAGCUAUAUUCUCUUAUCUAUUAUUAUUAAAUUUGUUUUGAAACGUGCUAUUAGGAUAUUAUUAUUAUUGGGGCAAGGAGCCAAUUUGCCAGAAGAGGACAAAAUUCAAGUGAAAAAAAAAAAAAAAAAAGUAGAAAACAAGUUAAGGUAACUCGUACGGGUGCAUUUGGAAAAAAAAAGUUUGAAAUUUUGAGAAAUAAUACCGUUAAUUUUUCAGAUGAAAAAUGCAUAAUAAAAUUAUAUGUGUCGAUUAAGAAGAAUUUUAGAGAAAUUGCAAUAAACAAAAGUCUUAAUAUUCUAAAAGAUGAGAAUAAUUUUGAGACAAGUAUGAAAUCAUAUCUUGAAAACCUUAAUCCAUUGUCAAUUGAACUGUUUUUAAAAGUAUAACUGCUUAAUCAAAUCAUCAACUAAUUGAUAAGAAUCCGUUAUAAUAAUAAUAUGAAUUGCAGUGCAUGAGAACGAAUCCCACCAAAUCGCAUCACUAUUAUUCUUCAACACGCCACAAAGAAGGAAAUAUCCACGUUGUCGAGGGGAGGGGAAAAAUCGGAAAAGACAUGAUAAUGUUACAAAAGAAAAAGCUCAAAGGUAGCCCAGUGCAAUCGGUCGGUUCGGUUCCGAACCGAACCGACAAAACCGAAAACCGAACUAUUAAAAUUUUCAAAAUCGAAAAAACCAAUUUUGAAAGUAUAACCGAACCGAAUCGAAUUGAUAAAAAUCGGUUCGGUUCGGUUCAAACCGAACUAUUACCCUAGCCACCUGGCUUCUUCGCAUCAGAACAGCACCGAAAGGCAUAAGCAGUGACCGAUGACAACUGAUCAACAAACCAAACAAACUAGGCAAUGAGAAGCAGCAAUAAUACCAGACAAGUCCCACGCAUGCCAAACAGAUAAAUCAACACAAAAACAUAAAUAAACUACAGUAUGUCGGACCUAACGCUACCACUUCCACCACUAAAAAUCACCAACCAAUCAUCCAAAUGAAACUUCUAUCCACCAUCAUUGACUACUGAAGAGGAGAAACCGACCCAUGACGUUUUCCGGCCUUCAAGAGCAACGGAGCUCAGGUGUCGGUUCUCACCUGUCCAAUCUUCUGACAGCCACAGCUUAGCAAAGGGCAUGCAGCUUCACUUUCUUAACAUGGCGAUUUUAAAAAAUGUCAUAGUAAAUUAAUCAUCAGUGGUGGCCAGGGGGAGAAAUCGGGAGAAUAGGGGUUCUGGGGGGAGAGAAUCGGGAGAUUGGAGCUUGAACGCCUGGGGGGCAGAAAGGGAUGGACCGAUGGAGGGGGUUGGGGUGCUGGGUUGGGUAGGAGAGGAUCGGGUGAGGGCUCGGGUGAGGGCAUGGGCUUGGGCCUAGCCACGAAAUCGGUUUGAUCGGUUAUUUAACAUGUUUAAACCGAACCGAACCGAAAACUGAAUAAUUUUAAAUAUAUUAAACGAACCAAACUGAUCAUUCUGACUAACUGAACUGAUAAAUCAAAAUUAAUCGGUUCGAUUCAGUUUUUCGGUUUAGACCGAAAUCCGCUCUCCCCUACUCAAAGGUUACAUACUGUACUGUAUGAGCAAACUUGAGCAUAUAAUGAUAAAAAAAAAAGCCCUUAUGAAAUUUCUAAAUAUACCAAAGCAUAAUGAAUACUUGAUCAAUGUAUGUGUGCGAAAGAGAGAGAGAAAAAAACUUUUGAAUUCUUAUUUCAGAAAUGAAAUGACGUUACAGAGAGAUCCAGAAGCAUCCUGCUUCCUUAUGUACUCAGACAACUACACAUGCACAUCUCGUGCCAAUUACAGCCCUAUUACAAUGGAAGGAGAAAUAAAAGAAACGACACAGUUUCAAACAUAUGCAUAUACAUUUAAUUUAAAACGAUGCAGUUUCAACAGUAUGCUAGCGUCUCUAAACUACGGUGGCAUAAAACGCAUUUUACUGAUACUAAUAUUUCUUUAUAUACUAAAUUACAUAAAACAGACAAAACAUCGUUAUGAUAAAAAAUAUUUAAACUUAAAAAAAAUCGACAAAAAUAAAGUACGUUUUCCAUAGCAUAGUGUUAGGUAAGUGUAUAUAUGCUCAUGAAUAAAUAAUUUUAAAAUCAUAUGUUAAGAUAAAUCAUUUAAUAAUAAGUAAGAUGAUUUUGCUGAAAAAAAGUAAGAUGAUUUUAUAUAUUUUCAUUAGAGAGAAAACUCAAUUCUAUUUUUAAAUACAGGCUACUUUAAAAUGAAUUCUGAAAAUUUGUUCUUAGAUAGUUAUAUUAUUGUUAAUAGAGAUGGAGUCCUCUUUUAGAAUAGUUAGUGUUAUGGUGGUUGUUCCUUUUUAUGAGUGUUUGCUUUUUGAAUAAAAACUGGAUCAUUGAUUUAUUUUAUUCAAGGUUUUAGCCUGCGUUUCUUUUUUGUACAAAAUAAUUUAUCUUUAAAAAAUAUUUAAUUUUUAUUUAAAAAUAAAAUUAAAAAAAAUUUUUAAAUAACAAGGAGUAAUAUAUUAUUAAUGACAGUUUCAUUCAUUUAUUCCUAAAAUUGCAUGCUUAAACAUAAAAUAGAAAACCAGAGAAAAAUGCAUAAAAAUUACAAAAAAAAAAAAAAAACUCUCUUUUUUCAGAAGGCAAAAAGAAGAAAUAACUUGGGAUAUAUUCUUCUUCCCCAGCCUUCCAAUUAUUGUGUGCACAUAAAUCUUCAGCCCAAACUAAAAAAAGACACCUAAAAGUCACUUGUUUGGUGCCUUAAUGAAGGCCAAAUGUGUAGAGUUAUCAAUUUUUGUCAAAGUUUUCAAAUCAUAGGCAAUCCAGCAUCUGGAUGACUGUGUAUGGUAGAAAUAACCCAAACACUUGCAAUCCUUAGAGCAUUUGCUGCCACAAGUACCCUGCUUCAUGGGUCCAUCUCCAUUUGUAUACUUGGAAUUGAAAUGGUCAACUCCUUCUAGUUUAUAGUAGUAAAAAUCUUUCACUCCACAUGAAGAUACUUUUGUCACCUCGCAAUUCUUGCUCCAACCCACCAAGCCUUUUGGUGAUGGGCAAGCAACACAUUGAUCAUCCUCACAUAACCCAAAGUUUCCACACCUUUCUGGCAAAUAGCAUUCUGAUUCACUAGAGUCUCUAGAAAACAGAGUGUAUGUCACUUGCCAAGCAUUCCAAUCUGCAUUAUCUUCAUAAGUGUGUAUUCUGAGAUUUCCAUCCAUUUCCAACCGAAGAUAAGACAAUGUGGUAUUGUAUCUAGGCUUUCUAAAAGUGAGAGUUCCCAAAGAAGAUAAAUUAGGACCAUGGAAUUCUAAAGAUAAACCUGACCCAAAUGUUGCUUGACGCAAAGGAGCUUUUAAUACACCAAAUUUAGAAAACGAGAAAUAAAGCAAUGGUUUUGGAGAAUUUGGACUUCUGUAAUACAUAGCUAGAGUUUUGUCUUCCAAAACCAAACUAUAAGGACCAUUAGCGUUCUUCUUUUCAGAGACGCGAUUCGUAAGCUUGGUUGCAGCUCCAAACUUUAGAGACUGGCCAACUAAAAGGGUAUCAGAGGGAUGAUCAAAACUCUGCCAAAUAAAACUGCCUUUAGAAUCAUGAAGGAUCAUGUUACCAUUUGAGAGUAACUUGAAUCCAACAAUGCCUUUAUUCGCAGUGUUGGUUUGCCAAGCGAUCCGGCCAUCGGCAUCGGCCAAGACAAGGUUUCCAUCAGUUCCAAAAGUGAAGGUGGCAUUUUCGCCGACUGGGUUGCCUCGGUUAGCUUCCCAAACCCAACGCAUAAGUGACUCAGAUCUCACUGUACCCAUGCGCAGAGCAAGAGUAUAUGCAUUAGGAGUAGUGUUAUAAAAGCAAAGUUGAAAUGGUCGGGCAAAAGGCUUUAAGGGUCGGUAAUUAGCAUCAUACUCCACAAUAUACUCCCCAAAUUCGCCUUCAUUGACGUAUUUGAAGGUUGCAGAAGGAGGAACAGAAGCUUGAGCAAUCAAUGAAAAGAAGGUGAAGCAUAUGCAAAGAGAGUGAAAUAGCUGUUGAGAAGAAAACAUUUUUCUUUGUCUGCGAGUUGCUGCCUAACGGAGGUUCCGUUUUAUAACAGAAAAAUGAAGGAGGUUUUAGUCAUUCAAAUUUUGAGCGUGAAGGUAAUGCCGGAUAGUGGAGGGCUUUUAUAUCAUAGAUUUCUCAUAUUUCCGGAAAAAAGAAAAUCCGGCUGAGUACUUCUUUUGUCUAAAUUUUAAAUUUUUUGUUUAAUUAUUUUAAUUUAAAUAUUAGUAAAAUAUUUAAUUAUUGCUAUUGCAUGAUGAAUAAGAACAAAGUAUUAUUUUUCUCCUUUCUCUGUUAAUUGUAAUUUAAUAUUAAUUAGUUAUUAUUUUUAUUAUAUAUAAAAAAUUCUAAUUAUCCCCUCUCUUUUCUCCUCACGCCCACUUGCACCAACCAUUCCCUUUCUCAUCAUUAAUGAAACACAACCACCUGGACCAAUGCAAUUGGACAAAAUGCCAGCCAGCUAGCAUGGCGAGCCAAUAGUAUUCAAUUUAAAUAAAAAAUUAAUUAAAUUUAUUUAUAAAUAAUUUAAUUUUUAUUUUUUAAAAUUUUAAUUAAUUUAAUUUAAUUUAAUUUUAAUAAAAAAAAUAAAAUUUAACUAAAUUUAUUAGUAAUCAAUAAUAUAUUAUUUUUAAUAAUAUAAAAAAAUUAAAUUAAAAUUAAAAUUAAAAUAUUUUAGUUAAAUUUUAAAAUAUUAAAAAUAAAAUAUAAAAAAUAAUAAAUUUAUUAAAAAUUUAAUCGAUUAAACUAAUCAGAAUUAAAUCAAUUCUAUUUAAAUUAAUUUUUACUUAAAAUUAAUUUAAUUUAACUUUUAUGAUAUUAAAAUUUAAUUUUUCACUUAAUUCUAUUGCAUUCACUGAAUGCUUACUCUUAAAUUGCUGAGCAGCUGACGAACAAGCAGUGAGCGGUCGCCCCUACAUGAGACCACAAGUAAUAAAAGAAUAAAAAUAAAAUUUUAGAACUGAGUCGUUGACUUGUUCCGUUAUAAACGGCGGACGAUGCAUCGACCACGGUUGUAAAGCACACAAUGGAUAGAAUAAAAAACGGGAAGCAGUAAUUCACCAAAAUAAAAAAUGCUUCAUUCCUCCUUAAAAAUGUAAUUUUUAUUUUUAUUUUUACAUGAAUAAAUAAUUAUUAUAUAAUUAAAAUAAUAAAUUUUAUUUACUAUUUUUAAUAUACCUCAGCAUAUAUUAUUUUAUUAAAAUUAAAUAAUAUUUAUUAUAAAAUAUUAUUCAAAAAAUGAAUGUAAUAGAAUAUGUUAGUAAGUUAAUAAAUAAAUCAAUUAUUUAAAAACAUAACUUAAAGUAAAAUAUUUUUUACUCGAAAGUAAAAUAAAUUUAUGAAUAAUAAAUUUCGACAUAAAUUUGGUCAAACAAAGAGGGCAGUCUUCGUUGAACAAAGAAAACAAGAACCACUGUGUCUGUAUGUGGACAACUGGACAUGGAGACCACCGUCUGAUCCUCAUAAACUCUCUGUCUUUUGUCGUACAAAAAAUCGUACGUCUAUUAAUACUAUUUGACAAUUAAUAUUUUUUAAAACAAUUAUUAUUUAAUUUUAUAAUAUAAAAAAGUUAUUAAAAAAUCUAUUAAUUAAUUUUUUUAUUAAUUUUAAUUAUUAAAAUUUUAUUUUUAAAUUUUUAAAAAUAUAAAAAAUUAAUUAAUAAUUUUUUUAAAUUAUAAAAUUAAAUAAUAAAAUUAAAAAAUUAUUAUUUAAUUUUUAAAUAUUAUUAUUAUUAAAUUUUCUUUUUUUAUUCGAUACUCUCACUUUUUGCUUUUUCUUAAAUCUAACUUAUUUUUUUUUUUUUUCUAUAGAAGAUAUCUACGUCAAUUGCCUAUCGAUGAAAAAUAAGAUGUUAUUGUCUCUAUUAAGAGUUAUAUAAAUAUUUUUUGCUUUUUCUUAAAUCUAACUUAUUUUUUUCUUUUUUUUAUAGAAGAUAUCUACGUCAAUUGUCUAUCGAUGAAAAAUAAGAUGUUAUUGUCUCUAUUAAGAGUUAUAUAAAUAUUUUAAUCGUUAUUUAUGAUUUUUAUAUGGUGAAAAUAUUUUUCACAUAUAAUUUAAUGAAUUUUUAGAAUAUACAAAUUUUUUUAAUAAAUUUACGAUAGCAAUCUUCGAAUAGUUAAUGUAUUGAAGGAUUUGGUUACUAAUUACAAGCUAAAUAUUUUAUUUUUUAUGGAAACAAAAACUCUUAGUUUUCAUGGAAACAAAAACUCUUAGUUUUCAUAUAGAAUUUUUUCAUAAUUUUUUAUAUUUUGAUAAUUGCUUCUCGGUUAAUAAACAAGAAUUGGGAAAAUGUAUUUCGUUGAUGUGGAAGAGUCGUGUGUUUGUUUCUGUAGUUGAUUUUUCUUCAAAUUUUAUUGAUUCGGUUGUUUCAAAAGAUAAUAUUUAAUGAAAGUUUACUAGUUAUUAUGAAUUUCCGUAAUCGCAACGACGACGUAAGUUAUGAAACCUUAUUCAAAUUUUAUCUUAUAGAAGCUAUUUUCUAUGGUUUUGUUCGUUAGACUUUAAUAAUUUAUACUCGAGAGAUUAAAAAGAAAAAAAAGUAUUUUUAUCAAAUUAUGGAGUUUAAACAAACACUUGAGCGACAUUUUUACUAAAUUAUUUGAAUUUAAUUUUAAAUUAUUGUAAAUUUUUAUUAUACUGUAUAACUCAUAUUUCUAUUAAAUAGGUUCGUAAUAAUACUAUUCUAAUUAUUUAUAUUUUAUCUACAAAAUUUAUUAGGUAUAAUACAGAAUUUAUUAGGUAUAAUUAUCUCUAUAUUUAAAAUGAUAUCUCUAUUUAUUUGAUAAAAUUUUAAUAAUAUAAUCAGUUUUAUUUAAAAAAAAUUAAAUAAUAAAAUUUUUAACUGUAAAAUUAAUAAAAAAGUAAUUAACAAAAUUUUGGGUUAACCGUCAAAAUUCAUACUCCAUUUAAGCUAUUAUAACAUAUAUAUAUAAUAAUAAUUUAAAAUAAAUUAAAUGUAUUAAAUUUUAUUUUUUCAUAAAUUAUAAAUAUAAUUUAUUAUUACUAAUUGAAUAUGAUGUGAAAACUCAGCUGGUGAGGUGGCAGUCAUAUUCAUAUAAAGAUUUUCCUCAGGGACACAUUGUGGUGGGGCCACCUUAAUGUCUCAUUCCCAAAUUAUUGGCGGAGGCCGCUGAAGGAUUUUCAUGCAUCCUUAUCCUCGAGAAUGCAUUAUCUGUCCUGGAAAGAUGGUUUUGACCUAUUCUUUUUUUUUUUUUUUGAAAAAAUAAAAAUAAAAAGCAAUCUCAAAUUUUUUUCCCCUCAAAUUUUAAUGAUUAUAUUUAAUUUUAUACAUUUAAUUUUUUUUUACCCGAAUUAUAGAAAUAUUUUGAUUUAGAUCAAUUUACCCACUUUUAAUUUAAAAUAUCAAAAUACCGAUUUUAAAUUUUCAAUAGUAAAAUAUUAAUAUUAACAUUUUGAUAUUAAAAUUAUUUAUUAUUAUAAUCAAUAUAAUAAAAAUAAAAAAUAAAUUUUAAUAUCAAAAUAUAAAUUAAUAUUCUAGUAUUAAAGUUGAAAAAUUAAUAUUUUUUUAGAAAAAUAUAAAUUUAAUUCUAAAUUAAAAUGUUCUAAUAAAUUGAAUAAAAAAAUUAAUUUUAAAUGAAAUUAGACGAAGCUGUACUGUGAUUGCUGCGACAACCCCUUUAACUAACGAUUAAAUUAAUAUAUUAAAAAAUAGAAAAAAUAUAAUAAAUUAUUUAAAAAUUAAAUAAUAUUAUAAAAUAACGAAUAUUUAUUUUUAUAAAUUUUUUUAUAUUAUAAAAAUGUAAGAAUAAACUUGAUAUUUUUUAAUAAAUUGAUGAUAAUAUAAACAACUGUUUGAUAAGAGAUACCAUUUAUUACCGAGUGAAAAAUUUUGCCAUUACAUUCUUCCUUUUCAUUUCCUUUAUUGUUAAUACUUGCUUAUAAAAUCUUCAAUCCAAGCUGAAAAUACCCACCUCGAAAAUCACUUAUUUGGCGUCUUAAUGAAUGCCAAAUGUGUAGAAUUAUCAACUUUUGUUAAGGUUUUGAGAUCGUAGGCAAUCCAGCAUUUAGAUGACUGUGUGUGGUAAAAAUAAGCCAAGCACUUGCAAUCCUUGCUGCAUUUGCUGCUACAAGCAUUCUGCUUCAUCGGUCCAUCUCCAUUUGUGUACUUGGAAUUGAAAUGAUCAACCCCUUCUAGUUUAUAGUAGUAAAAAUCUUUCACUCCACAUGAAGACAGCUUUGGUGCCUGACAAUUCUUGCUCCAGCCCAGCAAGCCUUUUGGUGAUGGACAAGCAAUACACUGAUCAUCUUGGCAUAGCCCAAAGUUACCACACUUUUCUGGUAAUUGGCAUUGUGUUUCCCAAGAGUCUUUGGAAAACAAAGUAUAGGUCACUUGCCAUGCACUCCAAUCUGCAUUAUCUUCGUAAGUGAGUAUUCUAAGGUUUCCAUCUAUUUCCAACCGAAGAUAAGACAAUGUAGUGUUGUAUUUAGGCCUUCUAAGAGUGAGAGUUCCACCGGAAGAGGACGUAGGACCCUGGUAUUCUAAAGAUAAACCUGAGGUAAAUGUUACAUUAUUCAAAGGGCCCUCCAAUACACUUAAAAGUUCAGAAAAUGAGAAGUAAAGCAAAGAUUUUGGGGAAUUUGGAGAUUUGUAGUACAUGACUAAGGUCUUGUCCUCCAUGACCAAACUAUAAGCACCAUUGGCGUUCUGUUCGUAAGAAGCACGACUCACAAGCUUGGUUGCAGCCCCUAGCUUUAGAGAUUGACCCACUAAAAUGGUAUCAGUUGGGUGAUCAAAACUCUGCCAUAUAAACCGACCCUUAGAGUCAUGAAGAACCAUGUUACCAUUUGAGAGUAACUUGAACCCAACAACGCCUUUAUUGGCAGUGUUGGUUUGCCAAGCAAUCCGGCCAUCAGCAUCGGCCAAAACAAGGUUUCCAUCAGUUCCAAAUGUGAGGGUGGCAUUUUCACCAACUGGGUUGCCACGGUUGGCUUCCCAGACCCAACGCAUAAGUGACCUAGAACUCACUGUACCCAUGCGCAGAGCAAGAGUAUAUGCAUUAGGAGUGGUGUUAUAAAAGCAAAGUUGAAAGGGCUGGGCAAACGGGUCUAAGACUCGGUAAUCGGGACCAUACUCCACAACAUAAUCCCCAAAUUCACCUUCAUUAACAUACUUGAAGGUUGCAGAAGGAGGAACAGAGGCUUGAGCGAUGGCGAAGGAUAAGCAAAGAGAGAGCAAUAGUUGGUGAAGAGAAAACAUUUUGGUUUGCUUGCUAGUUUUUGGGUUUGGUUGGUAUAUAAAAUCAAGGUAGAGAUGUACCCUUUUAUAGGAGAAAUGGAGGAGGAGGUUUUAGCCGGUCAAAUUGACUUGCAAGUUGAACGUGGUGGGACGGUGGUGGGCUUCAUUUAAUUUUAUAUCAUAGAUUUCUCAUAUUUCCGGAAAAAAAGAAAAUCCGGCUGAGUAAUUCUUUUGUCUAAAUUUUGAAUUUUUUUGUUUAAUUAUUUAAAUUCAUUUAUUUUAAUUUAAAUAUUAGUAAAAUAUUUAAUUAUUGCUGUUGCAUGAUGAAUAAGAACAAAGUAUUAUUUUUCUCCUGUCUCUGUUAAUUGUAAUUUAAUAUUAAUUAGUUAUUAUUUUUAUUAUAUAUAAAAAAUUAUAAUUAUCCCCUCUCUUUUCUCCUCGCUCCCACUUGCACCAACCCCUCCCUUUCUCAUCAUUAAUGAGACACAACCACCUGGACCAAUGCAAUUGGACAAAUUGCCAACCAGCUAGCAUGGCGAGCCAAUAGUAUUCAAUUUAAAUAAAAACAUUAAUUAAAUUUAAUUUUUACUUUUUCAAUUUUAUUUUAAAAAUUUUAAUUAUUUCAAUUUAAUUUAAUUUUCAUAAAAAAUUAAUAAAAUUUAACUGAACUUAUUAAUAAAUAAUAAUAUAUUACUUUUAAUGAUUUAAAAAAAUUAAAUCAUAAUUAAAAUUAAAAUAUUUUAAUUAAAUUUUAAAAUAUUAAAAAUAAUAUAUUAAAAAAUUUAAUCGAUUAAAUUAAAUAAAAUUAAAUCAAUUCAAUAUAAAUUAAUUUUCAUUUAAAAUUAUUUUAAUUCAACUUUUACUAUACUAAAAUUUGAUUUUUCACUUAAUUCAGUUGAAUUCACGGAAUGCUUACUCUUAUAUUGCUGAGCAGCUGACGAACAAGCAGUGGUCGCUCAUUGAAAAUCAGUAUUGUGAUGGUAGAUAAUGGUGACUUUUUAAUUUGAUAAAAAAAAAAUAAAAGUUUGAGUGAUUAAACUUAAAAUAUAUUAAAAAGUAAAAUUUUUAAUUAAAAAAAUGGCAAUUGACACAGAUGCAAUUAGAAAAAAAAUAAUGUUUACACUUAUAUAUAUAAUCAUGAAUAAAAAAGUUAAUUUUUUUAGCAUAAAUUAAUUUUAAUAAAAAAAAUUUAUUAUUUAAUUUUAAUAUAAUAAAAAAAUUUAUUAAUUAGUCUUUUAAUUUUAAAAAAUAUAUUAAAAUAUCUAUAAAUUUUUAUUUUAUUAUUUUUAAUAAUUAAUUAUUUUAUUAUUUAAUUUAUAUAGUAUAAAAAAAUUUAAUAAUUGAUAUUUCAAUUUUAUAAAUAUAUUUACUAAUUAAUUUUUAUUAUUUUAAAUAUUUUAAUAAAUACUUAAUAAGAGACUAAUUAAUAUAUUUUAAAAAUAUUUUAACAUAUUUUUUAAAAUUAAAAAAUUAAUUAAUAAAAUUAAAUAGUACUUUUUUCUUUUAAUAAUAUGUAAAUAAGUUUAUAUAUUUUUAUCAGGGAGAGAGCUCAAUUUUGUUCUUAAGCUUUUAGCCACAUAUAAAUCUAAAUAAAUUUAUUAUUUAGAAAAAUAUGAGUUAAUAUUUUAACUUUUUUAUUAAUAAAAUAUUAAAUUGAAAAUUUAAAAUAUUUUAAGGUCAAUUUACAAAUUUAGUAAAAUAAUAAUUGGGAAAAAUUAUUAAUAAAUUGAACAUGAAACCACAAAUAAUAAAAGAAUAAAAAUAAAAUUUUAGAACUCAGUAGUUGACUUGUUCCGUUAUAAACGGCCGACGAUGCAUCGACCAGGGUUGUAAAGCACACAAUGGAUAGAAUAAAAAACGAGAAGCAGUAAUUCACCAAAAUAAAAAAUACUUCAUUCCUCCUCAAAAAUGUAAAUUUUAUUUUAUUUUUACAUGAAUAAAUAAUUAUUAUAUAAUUAAAAUAAUAAAUUUGAUUUACAAUUUUUAAUAUACCUCAGCAUAUAUUAUUUUAUUAAAAUUAAAUAAUUUUUACUAUAAAAUGCUAUUAUUGAAGUUUUUAUUUUUAAAAUUUUUAAAGUAAAAUAAAACUUAUAAAUAAUAAAUUUCGACAUAAAUUUGGUCAAACAAAGAGGGCAGUCUUCGUUGACCAAAGAAAACAAGCAUCACUGUACGUGGACAAUUGGACUAGGGAUGUAAACGGGUAAGGUACCUGCAAAAUUGAGAGUAUCCAAUCCGAUUAUAUAUAUAAUUUUUGAAUCCGUUUUAAAUCCAUUUAAUAUUUUAAUUUUAUUAUCUGAACCCGUCCCAAAUCCAUUUAAUAAUACCUGUAUAAUACCGGAAUCCGAUUUUUUAAAUUUAAUUCAAUGACAAGAGAAAUGUUCAAUGACAAGAACAACAACUCAACAACCCAGCAAAUAAUAAUUUAUAACCAGAUAAUCAAAUUAAUUGUUCAUAAAUUCUAAAAAUCAACAGUAUUACAUUAAUCAAAUAGCAAAUAAUUAAAUUUUUUAAAAGUAUCUAAAUAAUCAAUUCAAUGAUAAAAAUUACCAAAUAAACUAGAAGGAGAAAUGUUCAAUGACAAGAAACAGCAACUCAGCAAACUCAACAAACCCAACAGUAGAAAGUUCCAGUCAAAAAAUUUGAUUGCAAACCUGAAGAAAGUUCCAGUUAAAGGAGAUGUCGCCGACAACAAUUGGGGAGAGGCAAGGGUCCAGCAUAAGUGAAGUGGGGGAAAGAAGCGUCAAUUGAAAAGAGUACAUGUCACCGACCGGAAGAGAGAAGGAGAUAUCGCCGAUGCCGACCGGGGAGAGGGAAGAGUUGUCUCCGACUGGGAAGUGGGAGAUGCCGCCGCUGGAGAGAGAAGGAGAUAUCACUAACUGGGGAGAGAGAAGAUUUAUCGUCAUUGUCGACUGGGGAGAGAAAGGAGACGUCGCCGGUGCCAACUGUCGACACUCGUCAGUGAAGUGGGGGAGAGAGGCCUUGUCUGGGAAGUGGGAGAUGUCGCCGACUGGAGAGAGAGAAGGAGAUAUCGCACUGUAAAGAGAGAAGAUUUAUCGAGGAGAGAAAGGAGACGUUGCCGGUGCCGAUUGGGCUGCCGGCAGUCGUCAUGAAGUGGGGGAGAGGCGUCGACGAAGAGAGAAAAGGGAAGCGAGGGAGAGAGGCGCGCCAACGGAGAGAGGAAAGAAAGAGUAAAAUGAAAAAGGAAAUUAGGGUUAGUUUUGUUAAUAUAGGUAAUCGGGUUUGGGUAAUGGGUAUACGAUCACCUAACCCCGAACCCUACCCGAAUCCGAAACGGGUAAAAUUUUUCAAAUCCGAAUCCGUCCAAAUCUGUUUUGUAAAAAUCCAAAUCUGUCUUAAUAGGAUUUGGGCGGAUCGGGUACCCAUAAAAACCUGACCGCCUGACAUCUCUAAACUGGACAUGGAGACCACCGUCUGAUCCUCAUAAACUCUCUGUCUUUUGUCGUACAAAAAACCGUACGUUUAUUAAUACUAUUUGACAAUUAAUAUUUUUUAAAACAAUUAUUAUUUAAUUUUAUAAUAUAAAAAAAAUUACUAAAAAAUCUAUUAAUUAAUUUUUUUUAUUAAUUUUAAUUAUUAAAAUUUUACAAAAAAUUUAAAAUAUCUGCAUAAAUUAAUUUUUAAAUUUUUAAAAAUACAUAAAUUAAUUAAUAAUUUUUUUAAAAUUAUAAAAUUAAAUAAUAAAAUUAAAAAGUUAUUAUUUAAUUUUUAAAUAUUAUUAUUAUUAAAUUUCUCAUCUGAGUCGAUACUCUCACCUUUUCUUUCUCCUUAAAUUUCAUUUAUAUUUUUUCUUUUUCUAUGGAAGACGAUCUACAUCAAUUGACUAUCGAUAAAAAAGAAAAUAUUAUUAUUCCUAUUAAGGGUUAUAUAAAUAUUUCGAUCGUCACUUAUAAUUUUUAUAUGACAGAUAUAUUUUUCACAUACAAUCUAAUUAAUUUUGAGAAUAUAUAAAUUUUUUUGGUAAAUUUAUAGCGGUAAUCCUCGAACAGUUAAUAUAUCGAAGGAUUUGGUUACUAGUUACAAAUCAAACAUUUUAUUUUUGAUAGAAAUAAAAACUCUUAGUUCUCUUAUGAAAUUUUUUCAUAAAUUUUUACAUUUUGAUGAUUAUUUCUCAGUUAAUAAACAAGAAUUGGGAGGAGAUCUUUCGUUGAUAUGUAAGAGUCGUGUGUUUAUUUCUGUAGUUGAUUUUUCUUCAAAUUUUAUUGAUUCGGUUGUUUCAGAAGGUAAUGUUUAAUGACAGUUUACUAGUUAUUAUAAGUUUCUAAAAUCGCAAUAACAAGGUAAGUUAUUGAACCUUAUUCGAAUUUUAUUUCAUAGAAACUCUCUUAUGUGGUUUUGUUUGGUAGACCUUAAUAAUUUAUACUCGAGAGAUGAGAAAAAAGUAGGAAUAUCUUUAUCAAAUUAUGGGGGUUUAGAUAGACAAUUGAGCAAUAUUUUUCCUAAAUUAUCUGGGCUUGAUUUUGAAUGAUUAUUUAUUUUUGUUAUACUCUAAAACUGAUAUUUCUGUUAAAUAGAUUCGUAAUAAUAAUACUCUAACUACUAGGGGUGAGCAGUAUUCGGUUUAAACCGAAAUAACCGACCGAACCGAUUAAUUUCAAAAUUUUGGUUCGGUUUUAUUUUUUUUCCGGUUCGGUUCGGUUUGAAAUUUUUAAAAAAUCGGUGAUUUCGGUUCGGUUCGGUUUUAGACGUAAAAUUUUCGAUUAGACCGAACCGAACCGAAAUCAACUAUACUACGUCGUUUUAAUAGUUUCCUAUUCCCUAAUUCCCUAUUUCCCUUCCCUUCCCUUCCCUGCCCUAAAUCUAAAACAAAUUUCUAUCUCUUCGUGCGUGCCACCAAGGCUCCUCUCAUCUCUAUGCUCUGCUCCAUCUGCUCCAUCUCUCAUCUCCAUCUGCUCCAUCUCUCUCUCUGUGCUCUGCUCCAUCUCUCAUCUCGCCACGAGAUUCUCGCGCCUGUGCCUCCACUCUCCUCUCGAUUGGACUGAUUCACCAUCGGCGUCGGCCGUUGCUCUCUAUCGGCUCUCCACGCGUCGUCGGGCAGUCAACAAUCUCUCAUCUCUAUGCUCUGCUCCAUCUCUCAUCUCGCCGCGAGAUUCUCGCACCUGUGCCUCCACUCUCCUCUCAACUGAACUGAUUCACCAUCGGCAUCGGUCGUUGUACUCUAUCGGCUCUCCACGCGUCGUCGGACAGUCGGCAAGUGCUUAUUCCACAGCCCUCAGUCAGUAAGUGUUAUUUUGGCAAGUGUUAUUUGCUGUUGAUUGUUGAAUUUGUGUGUUGAAUUUGUGUGCUGUGAUUGUUCUUUUUACUCUUUUUAGAUUUAAUUUUAGAACACUAAAAAUCAAUCUAAAAAGAGUAAAAAGAAUAAUGAAAAGUUUGAAAAUCGGUUUAACGGAUCGAACCGACUGAACCGAAUCGAACUGAACCAAAUCGGUUUGAUUCAGUUAUCUCUCUUAUUCGGUUCGGUUCGAUUUAUGUAAAAUACUGCAAUUCGAUUUUUAGUUAUUUCGGUUCGGUUUGAUUUUGAACCGAACCGACCGAAUGCUCAUCCUUACUAACUACUCAUAUUUUACCUACAUAAUUUAUCUCUCUCCUUGAAAUGAUAUCUUUCAUUAUUUAAUAAAAUUUUAAUAAUACAAUCAGCUUUAUUUUAAAAAAAAUUAAAUAAUAAAAUUUUUAACUAUAAAAUUAAUAAAAAAAUAAUUAACAAAAUUUUGGGUUAACUGUCAAAAUUCAUACUCCAUUUAAGCUAUUAUAACAUAUAUAUAUAUAAUAAUUUAAAAUAAAUUAAAUGUAUUAAAUUUUAUUUUUCCAUAAAUUAUAAAUAUAAUUUAUUAUUACUAAUUGAAUAUGAAAACUCAGCUGGUGAGGUGGCAGUCAUAUUCAUAUAAAGAUUUUCCUCAGGGACACAUUGUGGUGGGGCCAUCUUAAUGUCUUAUCCCCAAAUUAUUGGCGGAGGCGGCUAAAGGAUUUUCAUGCAUCCUUAUCCUCGAGAAUGCAUUAUCUGUCCUGGAAAGAUGGUUUUAACCUAUUCUUUUUUUUUUUUUUUUGAAAAAAAAAAAAUAAAAAGCAAUCUCAAAUUUUUUCCCCCUCAAAUUUUAAUGAUUAUAUUUAAUUUUAUACAUUUAAAUUUUUUUUACCCGAAUUAUAAAAAUAUUUUGAUUUAGAUCAAUUUACCCAUUUUUAAUUUAAAAUAUCAAAAUACCGAUUUUAAAUUUUCAAUAGUAAAAUAUUAAUAUUACAUUUUGAUAUUAAAAUUAUUUAUUAUUAUAAUCAAUAUAAUAAAAAUAAAAAUUAAAUUUUAAUAUCAAAAUAUAAAUUAAUAUUCUAGUAUUAAAGUUGAAAAACUAAUAAUUUUUUUAAAAAAGAUAAAUUUAAUUUUAAAUCAAAAUGUUCUAAUAAAUUGAAUAAAAAAUUAAUUUUAAAUGAAAUUAAAUGAAACUAUACUAUGAUUACUAUGGCAGCCACUCUAACUAAUGAUUAAGUUAAUAUACUGAAAAAAUAGAGAAAAUAUAAUAGAUUGCUUAAAAAUUAAAUAAUAUUAUAAAAUAGUAAAUAUUUAUCUUUGUGAUUCUUUUUUUUUAUAUUAUAAGAACGUAGGGAUAAACUUGAUAUUUUUUGAUAAAUUGACGAUGAUGUGACCGACUACUUAAUAAGAGAUAUUGUUUGCUAAUGAGUGAGAAAUUUUGCGAUAACAGACGUAAUGGGAAUACGGUGCACUGUUUCUGUUUAUUGGUAACUUUGUAUUAAGUCUCGCCCUGUCGAGGGAAGGGUGAGUCUUGGAUGAUGAAUCAGGUGUUUAGGGCAUUCGGAUCUUCCAUUCUUUGCGCUGGACCAUGUUUCUCACUUAUCAUAUCAUUGUUACGUAUUCCAGUCUCGUGGUAAUAGCUCAUGACUUAUUUUAAGCGAUUGUUAUGUAGCAUCAAAGAUCCCCGUUUGUAUUCGACUCUUAAGAUUCGAAGGAGAUAGUUGUUCUCAAGGUCUGGGGCACGUGGCCUCCUGAGAUUGGUUUUUGCUGCUCACGCCAUUUCGUCCAUUUAGCCCCUCAAUGAUGAUCGCACUGCUUAUCAUGUCGUAUUUAAAAUCUGGCAUCAAAAUCGUCUUAUAAAAGCCCUUAUUCUUUCCCAAAUAUCGUUUUUGUAAUACCCGGCUAGACUCCGACGUCGGAAUUCCAACCUUUUGACGGAAUCCCCAUUGGAAUCCGGAAUCUCGGAUGUCGGAACCUCUUAGAAGGGUAAAAUAAGUUUUUCACAAAAUGAAUUUUAUGGUUUUACUUUUUGUUUUUGUAUUAAAGAAUUUUAAGAAGAAAGAAAAGAUUUUUUGAAGAAAAAUGCUUUGGAGGGGAAAAAUCAGGUUCGGCCGUUGAACCUUCAUGCUCGGCCGCCGAACAUGGUGCUGCCGCGGGAGCUCUCCUUUCGGCCCCUGAAGGUGGUCUGGCCAGCCAUCUAUAAGAGGCCUCCAGUCCGAAAAUGAGAGAGUUUCUCUCUCCAUUUUCGGGCAAAGGUGAGUUCUUGCCCUCUCAUUAUUGAUUUUGUUAUUUUUCCUUCAAAUCCUUCAAAAUAUUCAUGAGUUUUCCCUCGUUUUUGAAGAUUUGAGCUUAAAUAUGAGUUUUGAACCUUGGAGACCUCUGGAGACCGUUUGAACUCAUCUCCACUGUAAUACCCGGCUAGAUUCCGGCAUCGGAAUCCCUACCUUCGGGCGGAAUCUCCGUUGAAAUCUGGAAUUCUGAAGAUGCCAGAGUCUUCUAGAAAGGUAAAGUGUGUUUUUUAAAAUGUUUUCACAUGAUUUUAUGGUUUUAAAUGAAAAAGAAAUGAGUUUUGAAAAGAAUAGGCCAAGGAGGAAGGACCCAGGUUCGGCCGCCGAACAUGGGGCUGUUUCGGAAGUGCUUUAGGCCUCCGAAGGCUUUGAGGGCAGAAACCAGGUUCGGCCGCCGAAUCUCAAGUUCGGCUGCUGAACAUGGGAUAGUUUAGGGGGCACGUUAGGCCGCCGAAGGUGGUUGACCGGCCACCUAUAAAAGGCCCCUCAGACCGAAAGUGGGCGAGUUUUCUCUCCAUUUUUGAGCUAAGGUGAGUUCAUGUUCUCCUUUGGUCGAUUUCAUGUUCUUUCUUCAAAUCUUUCAAGUUUUAACAAGUUUUAGCUUGGGUUUUGAAGUUGUGAGCUCAAGAUCAAGUUUUGGGAGCUUGGAGACCCAAAGAGUUGUUUUCUCCCAUCUCCAAGUUAGGGAUCGCACCAACCCUCGAUCUUCAAGAGGUAAGUGUAGAUCCACGCCUUUUUCUUUGUUUUAAGCAAGUUUUAAGAAGUUUUGAUGCUUGUGUGAGGGUAGAUGUGCAUGUUUAGGUUUAUGUGGGUUUAUGCUCAAUGUAUGUUUAUAUGAUGUUUUGUUGGGAGGUUUAAGCUAGUUUAUGCCCUAUUUGCAUGAGGGAGUGUGUAUGCAUGUUUGGGAGAGAGCAUGUGAGGUUUUCAGUUGUUUUGGAAGGUUUGGAGGCUGUUUGUGCAUGAGGAGGCUGAGUUCUGCCCUUCGGGAAGAACUCAGGUUCGGCCGCCGAACCUGCCUGUGGUGGCUUGUUUUGGCUGCCGAACCCUGCCCUCGAAAGUUGGACUUUCGGCUCUGGAGGGGAGUUUCGGCCGCUGAAGGUGCCGCCGAACAUGCACGAGUUUCGGCUCUGGAACCACUUUCGGCAGCCGAAGGUGUCGCCGAAAGUGGCUGAGUUUCGGCUCUGGAGGGACUUUCGGCCGCGGAACCUGCCGCCGAAAGUGCCCUGUUCAGCCUUCUUUUGCAUGAUUUCUAUGGUUGUUUUAUGAUGUUUUAGGGGAUUUUCGGGGAAAUGUUUAGAGUCCUAUUAGAGUAUGUUUGGUCCCUCAUUUGAGUCCACCUGUGUAGGAACGGACCUGAGGAACUGAGGUGUUCGGCAGUGAGUUAGCUGCUUCAGAGUUAGUAAGCGUCAGCCAGAGGUGAGUGGAACUGAACCUUAUGUUUAAAAAUAUAAAUCAAAUGUUUUAAGCAUACUCAUGCAUCAUGAAUACCAUGUUAUGUAAUAGGUUGUUUACAUUAGAAUUCACGAAUAUGAUGCAUUGCAUAAUAUGAUGAUGAUGAUGUGGAUGAAUAUUGAAUGAUCCUCUAGCUCUCUGUACGGUACGAUAUGAUAUGAUAUGACAUGAGAUAGAUAGGCCAGACGUGGCUGUAUUGCCCUUGGCAAUAUGUUAUGAUAUGAGCUAUGCAAGAGAAGACCAGGUGAGGCUGUAUCGCCCCUGGUAUAGUCGGACGUGUUAUGAUAUGAGCUAUGUAAGAGAAGACCAAGUGAGGCCGUAUCGCCCCUGGCAUAGUUGGACGAGUUAUGAUAUGAGAUUGUGGAGGGCUAGUGGUGACAAGUUCAUCCUUAAUGUGUAUUGUUUGUGAUGUGAUGCAUUCCAUGAUGGCAUAUUUUUAUGAGUUGUUUUCACUGUUCUGCUCACUGGGCUUUAUAGCUCACCCCUCUCUCCUAACCCCAGGUUUGUAGGGACAGAGUUAGUUCAGAAGUUCAGCAGGUUAUGGCUAUGGUUAUAUUUUGUAAUAGGAUAGUAGUGGACAUGAUGUAAUGUAAAAUCAUGUAAUGAUGUAAGAGCAUGUAUUGUAAUGUAAGGAUAUGUAAUGGCAUGUCUUGGUUAGAGUUGUGCUUUGCCCUAGUUAUGUAUGGUUAAUCCUUUUGAUACAUGAUAGUAUGUUAAUGUUUAAAUGAUGAUGAUUAUGCAAACCAAGCUUAAUGUAUGAUAUGUUGACCCAACUGGAGCAUUUGAUGAGGGCUCCAGUAAGGGGUUUUAUGUUACAGCUUUUGUGCAUGCACAGGUUAAGCUUGGAAAAUGAAAGGAAAAGUUUAAAGUUUUUAUGUAUAUGUAUGGUCAUGUAUGGGAUUAACAGGUGUACAGGAUGCAUGUUAGGCUUGCUACGGGUCCCGGCGGCCUUAUGCCGAUCUGGAUUCCUAGCGCCGGUAGCGGUCCGGUUUUCGGGUCGUUACAUCCACGUUGGGGUUGCUGUCACUCCUAGAUCUCUAAGAGGUAAGCCUACAUCAUUGCUUUCCUUAUGUUUUAAAUGAGUUUUAAGAAGGGGUAAAAGGCUAAAAAUGCAUAAAAUGGGUAGAUCUAUAGUUUUUGAGUUGUGUUAGUUUUGUUGAUAAAAGUUUGCUCUUAUGAGUUUUUAUGGUUGUUUCUUUGGGAUUUAGGCUAGUUUUUGUGCCCUUAUGCUUGAUGAGUGAGUAUGCAUGUUUUGAUGAGUUGGGUGUGAGGAUUUGAGAGUUUUGGGUGGCUGAAUGCAUAGGGCAGAAUCGGGUUCUACCUAGUUGGAGAACCCAGGUUCGGCCAUCGACCCUGUAUGGGAGGCAGCCUUUUGGCCGCCUAACCUGCCCCUGAAAGCAUGGACUUUCGGAUCUGUGAAGGGGUUUCACCGCCGAACCCGCUCCUGAAAGUCCCUGACUUUCGGAUCUGUAUGGAGUUUAGGCCGCUGAACCUGCCCCCAAAAGUCCCUGACUUUCGGAUCUGUGAGGGACCUUCGGUCGCCGAACCUGCCGCUGAAAGGCCCCUGCCCAGUCUUCCUUUGCUUGUUUCCUAUGCAUGUUUUGGUAGGUUUUAGGGGGGGGGGUUUGGGAAGUUGUUUAGAGUCUUGUAAUAGUUAUGCUUGGUCCCUCAUUUGAGUCCAUUUGUGUAGGAUCGGACCAAGGAGACCGUAGAGGCCUGCAGUGAGGUAACUGCACCAGUGUUAGGCAAGCGUCAGCCAGAGGUGAGUAGAACUGAACUAUCUUUUCAAAAUAACUAAACUUUUAAGCAUGUUCAUGCAUCACGAAUGCCAUGUAUAUGUAUUAGGAUGUUGCAUUAGAAUUCACGAAUAUGAUGCAUUGCAUAAUUUAUUGUUGAUGUGGAUGGAUAUUGGAUGACCCACUAGCCCUCGAGAUGUUAUGAUAUGAUAUGAUAUGAUACGGAAAGACUAGGGCUGCCCAUUCUACGCCCCUGACACGAUGUAAGAGAAAGACCAGGGCUGCUCAUUCUAUACCCCUGGCAUUAUGGAUAUAUUAUGUUAUGUUUAAGCGAAAGUCCUGAGGGGCUCAGUUGAGGGCCGGACACAUUGGAUUAUGUAGAGGGUUACUGGUGACAAGUCCAUCUUGAUGUGAAUUGUUUGUGUUGUGACGCAUUUCAUAUGAGCAUAUGUUUAUUAAACUAUUUUUAUAUUCUACUCACUAGACUCUUGUAGCUUAUCCCUUUCUCCUAACCCCAGGUUUGCAGGGUCGAAGAUAGCUCGGGAAGCCGGCAUAGUAGCUGGUAUAGUUUAAUGUAAUAGAAUAGUUGUGGACAUGUAAAAAUUUAAUGGAUUAGUAUUGUGCUUGGCCCUAGUUUUCUUUACCUUGUAAUCCCUGUUAACAUGGUCUUUAUGUAAAAGUUUUAAUUAUGAUUUAUGUUUGAACUAAGCUUGAGGCAUGUGAUGUUAACCAUACUAGAGCAUUUGAUGAGAGCUCUAGUAUGAGUUUUAUGUUUUCAGUAUGAUACAUGCACAGAUUGAGCUUGGUUUCAUGAAAUGUUUAAGUUUUUGUUAUAAUGUAUGAUCAUAUAUGGGAUUUUAUCACGUACACAGGAUGUAUAGUAGGCUUGCUACAGGUUCUAGCGACCUUAAGUCAAUCUGAAUUCUAGCGUCGGUAGCGGUCCAAUUUCCUGGUCGUUACAGUUUUUGCUAUCUCCUGUGAUCCUUUGUUUUCAGAAAAACUCGUUCACUACUUUUUUUUUUACUUAUACUCCUUACAAUAAUUUUUGUUUCUUUUUUUUUUUCUUGGUAUGAACAAGAUUACUUCUUCCCUUUCCCUUAACAAGGUUCUACCUCUAGCUCCUCUUUCGAUAGCCCUAUCCGUACCCCAGCCUCUGUUGUUCCAUUGAGGGAGGUUCUGAAAAACGAGGUCGACCUGAUUAGUGAUACUUUAUCUGUCCUUUUGGAGCGUAAUGUAGACUGUCUCUAUGAUACCUAUUAAAUUCCUCAAAAGGUUUUCUGUGUCUUUGCUCUUUCUCUACGCAUCCGUGUGAGUGAUUUGAUUUUGCAGAGUAUACUAUUAUGGUCUUUGAGAAGCAAUUAAAGACAGGUCUUUUUUGAUUCCUUAUGGACCUAUUUUUUAUGGAUGUUCUUUGGUUUUAUAAACUUUCGAUUGCCGAACUGUAUUCUAAUAGCUGAAAAAUUCUAAUGGCUUUUCAGUUCGUUUGCCUAAAUAACCACAUCGAACCAAGUGUAACAUUUUUCUCUCAACUCUAUCAACUAGAUAUCUACAAAAGUGAAAAAUUUUGAUAUUUUAACGGACAAAACCACAUUACCUAUUUGAUAUGGUAUCCCACCUUAACGUGGAGGAAAAAUAGAUAUUUUGUCCUUUGCCACUCGACGCUAGAGGGUUUUGACCAUAUUUUACAAAAUAGAUUUUUGGUAUUUCUUAAAGUCGUUUUGUAAUUAUCUCUCAAUAUCUUAGAAAUGCAACUUUACAAUUAUAUGAUAAAAAAAAUUAUACAUGAGGUAUAUACGUAUUAUUUCAUAAAGGUAUAAUCAAUUUAAGAAGAAUAAAUUAAAAUAAAAUAAUAAAAAUUAUUUUUAUAUCGUUGACGUCGAAGAAGAAUCCAUGGAUUACGAACAAAGAAAACAAAAACCACUGUGGAUAUUAAGACCACCCUCAGAUCAUCACAAAUUCUGUCUUUUAACGUACAAAAAAUAUUAAGUUUGUCAAUAUUUGACAAUUAAGUUAUUUUUUCUUUUCAAAAAUUAUUUUUUAUAAUUUAAAAUUUUUAUUAAAACCUAUAUAUAAAUUUAUUGAUAUAUUUUAUUUUUUCACAAACAAGUGGAGUUUUAAAAUAAUUAUUAUCCAUAUUAAUAAUAUAUUAAUUAAUAAUAUAUAGUGAUUUAAAAUAAAUUUAAAAUUAUUACUAUUUGAAAAUAUUAUAAUUUUUUAUUAAAUUUUAAAAUUAAUAUUUUUAUUAAAUAAAUUUAUCAUAGUUAUUUUAAUUGUUCAUAUUUUAACUAUAAAAUUUAUUAAAUAUAAUUAACUUUCAAUUUUAAAAUGAAAUCUCUUUUUAUUUUUAUUAAAAAAAUAUUAAUAUUUUAAUAAAAUUAUUAUAUAUUUUAUUAUUAUUGAUGGAGUAUAAUUAAAGUUUUUGUUUGUAUUCAUAUAAUAAUUUUGAGGAUAGAGAUAUCACGUGGACUAUCUCAGUAUCGUUUCAGUAAAUAAUUGGUGGAGGCGUAAGGGACUUGCAUGCAUGAAUUCUUAUACUUAAUUAAGCCUGCAUAUUUGUUUUGGAAAGAUGAUUUUGACCUUUUAUUUUUAUAUAAUUAUAUAGAAAAAUAUUUAUUUUGGCUACACAGAAUCUUAUGUAACAAGUAACAUAUUAUUAAAAUCAAAUCAAUUGCAUUAAUUUAUUCGUAAAAUCCCACACCUUAACAUAAAACAAAAAACCAGCUAAAAAAUACAUAAAAUUACAAAAAAAAAAANNNNNNNNNNNNNNNNNNNNNNNNNAAAAAAAAAAACUUGUCACAUUCUUUCUUAUCAUUCCCUUUAUUGUUCAUACUUGCAUAUAAAAUCUUCAAUCCAAGCUGAAAAUACCCACCUCGAAAAUCACUUAUUUGGCGUCUUAAUGAAUGCCAAAUGUGUAGAAUUAUCAACUUUUGUUAAGGUUUUGAGAUCGUAGGCAAUCCAGCAUUUAGAUGAUUGUGUGUGGUAAAAAUAAGCCAAGCACUUGCAAUCCUUGCUGCAUUUGCUGCUACAAGCAUUCUGCUUCAUCGGUCCAUCUCCAUUUGUGUACUUGGAAUUGAAAUGAUCAACCCCUUCUAGUUUAUAGUAGUAAAAAUCUUUCACUCCACAUGAAGACAGCUUUGGUGCCUGACAAUUCUUGCUCCAGCCCAGCAAGCCUUUUGGUGAUGGACAAGCAAUACACUGAUCAUCUUGGCAUAGCCCAAAGUUACCACACUUUUCUGGUAAUUGGCAUUGUGUUUCCCAAGAGUCUUUGGAAAACAAAGUAUAGGUCACUUGCCAUGCACUCCAAUCUGCAUUAUCUUCGUAAGUGUGUAUUCUAAGGUUUCCAUCUAUUUCCAACCGAAGAUAAGACAAUGUAGUGUUGUAUUUAGGCCUUCUAAGAGUGAGAGUUCCACCGGAAGAGGACGUAGGACCCUGGUAUUCUAAAGAUAAACCUGAGAUAAAUGUUACAUGAUUCAAAGGGCCCUCCAAUACACUUAAAAGUUCAGAAAAUGAGAAGUAAAGCAAAGAUUUUGGGGAAUUUGGAGAUUUGUAGUACAUGGCUAAGGUCUUGUCCUCCAUGACCAAACUAUAAGCACCAUUGGCGUUCUGUUUUUCAGAAGCACGACUCACAAGCUUGUUUGCAGCCCCUAGCUUUAGAGAUUGACCCACUAAAAGGGUAUCAGUUGGGUGAUCAAAACUCUGCCAUAUAAACCGACCCUUAGAGUCAUGAAGAACCAUGUUACCAUUUGAGAGUAACUUGAACCCAACAACGCCUUUAUUGGCAGUGUUGGUUUGCCAAGCAAUCCGGCCAUCAGCAUCGGCCAAAACAAGGUUUCCAUCAGUUCCAAAUGUGAGGGUGGCAUUUUCACCAACUGGGUUGCCACGGUUGGCUUCCCAAACCCAACGCAUAAGUGACUCAGACCUCACUGUACCCAUGCGCAGAGCAAGAGUAUAUGCAUUAGGAGUGGUGUUAUAAAAGCAAAGUUGAAAGGGCUGGGCAAAGGGGUCUAAGACUCGGUAAUUGGCACCAUACUCCACAAUAUAAUCCCCAAAUUCACCUUCAUUGACAUACUUGAAGGUUGCAGAAGGAGGAACAGAGGCUUGAGCGAUGGCGAAGGAUAAGCAAAGUGAGAGCAAUAGUUGGUGAAGAGAAAACAUUUUGGUUUGCUUGCUAGUUUUUGGGUUUGGUUGGUAUAUAAAAUCAAGGUAGAGAUGUACUCUUUUAUAGGAGAAAUGGAGGAGGAGGUUUUAGCCGGUCAAAUUGAAUUGCAAGUUGAACGUGGUGGGCUUCAUUUAAUUUUUUUAAAAUGCCUUUCUGUUUAUGUUGAUUUUGUUUAUAUUAAUUUUAUAUGAUCUUAUCUCUAAGCUUUAAUAAAGUUAUAAAAUAAUAUUAUAUCUUCAGGUUAAGAGAAGUUAUUGUAAAAAAUAUCAUAUAAAGAUGAACAGAAUUGGGGAGCGUAUAAAGAAUCAAGACUUUUCUAGAAUCGCACAGCUUGGAUUUUCUUGGACGCAUAUAAUUAUAGAUGGCUUCCCACUCUGGUUUUGGGUCAAACACUGAGUUCUGUCCAUAUCGACGUCUUUGAAUCCAUUCUUCAAGAGCCCACAAUAAAUUUUAUUCUUUAAUAAAUAUAUUUUUUAUAAAAAUUUCACACUGAUAUCGUAUUAUAUGAAAAAUUUUAAAUAUCAAUCGUUAUACUUACAGAUAAAAGCGAAUAAUUUUAUUGAUUUAAGCUGUUUUUAUUUAUAGAAAAUAAUUUAUAUUUUAAAAAUAUUUUUUAUAAAAAUAUUUUUCAAUAAUGUUAUUAUUAUUUAAUUUUAAUUUAAACAAUAAAAUAUAUUAUUAAAUUUAUAUCACGACUAUUAAAAAAGUUUUCAAAGUUAAAACGUUUACAGGUUGAUUUAAGUAUACAUUAAAUAUAAUAAUAAUAAACUAAAACUCAUAAAAUAUUAAUUCAAGGAAAGAAAAUGAAUUAAAAUAUUUCUUUUAAACACGUAUAUAGGUCAACAUAUCACGUUACGCUCCAUAUAAUGAUUUCGCUCCGUAAAAUUGUGAUUAUAUAUAUAAUAUUUAUAUUAAAUUAAAAUUAAAUUUUAUUAAUAUUGAGUCAAUUUGUUAAAAUAUUUUUAAUAAAUAUUUAUUUUAUUUAUGAAAAUAAAAUUUUUAAAUUCAUUUAAACAAAAUAUUAAGUCAUUAAUUUCAACAUCUAUUGAUUAUAAAAUUGUGAAUUUUAAUUUAAGGAUACGGUAUUUUUUCUGAAAGUAGAUGUCAUGCUUAUGACAUUUAAUGUAAGAUGUCCUGCUUAUGCCACUGAAUGUAAGACUGCAUAUUUUCAUGUUUUAAUUUUUUAUAAAUUUAUUCAAAAAAAACUUAUAAUAUAAUUAUUUUAUAUAGAACCAAUUUCAUAUACAUCGCAUCAUAAUUAAUAAUUAAUAUGUAACCAUGCUGCUUUAAAUAUGUUUCGUAUUUGAGUGGAUUGAGAGAUUUUAAAUUUUAUUUUUUUUAAUUUUUAAUUUUUAUUAAAAAAAAUAUUACAUAUAAUUUUUUUAAAAAAAAAUUCAUGUAUAGUUAGAGUUUAAUCUAUAUUUUAAAUUUUAAAAUUUAAAUUUAAUUAAGAAUGAUAUUGGAUUUUGCUUUGAAAUAUUAACAAUUAAAAGUUUACCAAAAAUUUAAAAUUUUCUAAAAUAGCAAAUCAGAAACGUAUGGUCAAGUUUAACAUAAUUUGAUAAAAAACAGUUAAAAUUUAAUUGUGAUCUUUUUAUAUAUAUAUAAAAAAAAAAAUUGAUGCAAAUUGGCGAAGGGAGGACAAGCUCUGAAGAAACAAAAUUAUGACGGUGUAUUUGGGUUGAAACUAAGAGCAAGGCCUUUUAGAUUUGAGGGGAAAAAGAUAAAAUCAAAGGGUGGUAAACAAUUUUGUUUGGGAAUUUAUUGUUCAUCUAUUUUUUCUUUUUACCAAAUGCAGUUGAUAUUAUAUUUUUCUAAAGCAGUAACACACUCAGUCCAGCUCAAAACACAGUGAGAUAGAGAUCCAACCCAGAUAAUGCAGUCCAGACCAUCAAAAGAUUCUUGGAGUUCCAAGCAAGCAUCACCAAUAAUCCCUGCAACCCCUCGCUCCUAACACCGCCUACAAGCACCAUCAAAAUCAACAAGCAUCGUCAAAGCCGCUAAACUGUUGAAGACCAGAACAACAACACCUAAAGGACCCAUCCACACUAACAAAUAGGCUCAAAAUCAUUGCAUAUCAAGCCAAACAAUCCACAAUCAAUAGUCAGUUUAUAAUUUAUUACAAUAUAAAAAGAAAAAUAGAUAAUAUUUUAAAAUAAUUACAAAAAUGAUGAAUAAAAAAUUAUGAGACAAAUAGAAUAAUUAAUAAAGUAAUUUAUAAUUUUUAUCUACUAUAUAUUAAAAAAUUGGUGUAUUUUAGUCAUAUAUCAAUUUUUUUUCCAAAUAUAGAUAAUAGAUUUUAUAUAUUUACGAGAAAUUAUAUAUUCUUGAAAAUUUUACCCAUUUUUUUUUCUUGAAAAUAAAUGCAGCUAUACAUUCUUCCGUGAAAAUGCUAAAAACAGAAAAAUUUACUGGCUUUGGAGGUAAAUAUUAGAAAUUACUUGCCAUAUUCUUCCUUAUCCUUCCAUUUAUUGUUCAUACUUACAUAUAUAACCUUAAGACCGAGCUAAAUAUACACGCCCCUAAAAUCACUUGUUCGGCGUUUUAAUGAAGCCCAAAUGUGUAGAAUUAUUAACCUUUGUCAAGGUUUUGAGAUCAUAGGCAAUCCAGCACUUGAAUGACUGGGUGUGGUAGAAAUAACCCAAACACUUGCAAUCCUUAGUGCAUUUGCUGCUACAAGCAUUCAGCUUCAUAGGUCCAUCUCCAUUUGUGUAUUUGGAAUUGAAAUGAUCAAUCCCUUCUAGUUUGUCGUAGUGAAAAUCUUUCACUCUACAUGAAGAUAUUUUUGGUGGCCUGCAGUUCUUGCUCCAGCCCAGCAAGCCUUUUGGUGAUGGACAAGCAACACACUGAUCAUACUGGCAUAGCCCAAAGUUUCCGCACCUUUCUGGCAAUUGGCAUUCUGUUUCCCAAGAGUCUUUAGAAAAUAGAGUGUAGGUUACUUGCCAAGCACUCCAAUCUGCAUCGUCUUCAUAAGUGUGUAUCUUAAGGUUUCCAUCUAUUUCCAACCGAAGAUAAGACAAUGAGGUAUCGUAUUUAGGCCUUCUAAGAGUGAGAGUUCCACCAGAAGAGGACUUAGAACCCUGGUAUUCUAAAGAUAAACCUGAGAUAAAUGUUACACGAUUCAAAGGACCCUCUAAUAUACUUAAAAGAUCAGAAAAUGAGAAGUAAAGCAAAGAUUUUGGGGAAUUUGGAGAUUUGUAGUACAUGGCUAAG